rnacentral:lncRNA from 1 species
CUGAGCCGCCAAGUAGUGUUGGUGGUGGAGAUAAGACUAAUGGAAGGGGUGGUGAUGGAAGAGAAGAAGAUAAUGGUGGUGGAAGAGGAGCAGAAGGUGGCGGGAGGGGUAGAACCGGAGUAGGUGGAGAUAGGAUUGGAACCGGAGAAGGCGUUGCUGAUGGUGUUGGUGGUGGUAGCACUGGAGUAGGUGGAGGUAGGAUUGGAACCGGAGAAGGCGUUGCCGAUGGUGUUGGUGGUGGCUGAGUUGGAAAUAAAGGUGGUAAUGGAGGGAGUAUAAUCGGUGUAGGGACAAAUGGGAUAACGGGUGCUACUGGUGUCGGUGGGCAAGGUACUGGUGCAGGUGGAGCCGGUGCCGUGGUGCAAACAACACAAGGCUGAGCAGGAGGCGGUGCCGGGGCUGAGACACAAGUAAUGCAAGGCGCCGGGGGUGGAGACAGUGUCGGGGUUGUGACGCAAGUAAUGCAAGGCACGGGAGGAGGAGGCGAUGGUGGUGGCAAUGGUGGAGGUGGGCAAGGAACGGGGAUUGGCGGUGGUGGUGGUGAUGGUGA